rnacentral:misc_RNA from 1 species
GAACUUGGCAUCCCUACCUGAUCCGAGGUCACCUGGAUAAAAAUUUGGGUUGAUCGGCAAGCGCCGGCCGGGCCUACAGAGCGGGUGACAAAGCCCCAUACGCUCGAGGACCGGACGCGGUGCCGCCGCUGCCUUUCGGGCCCGUCCCCCGGAGAUCGGGGGACGGGGCCCAACUCAAAACUUUGGACUUCGGAUCUCUUGGUUCCGGCAUCCAUGAAGAACGCCCCGAAAUGCGAGACGUAAUGGGAAUUGCAAAUUCAGUAAAUCAUCGAGUCUUUGAACGCACAUUGCGCCCCCUGGUAUUCCGGGGGGCAUGCCUGUCCGAGCGUCAUUGCUGGCCUCUAGCCCGGGUUGUUUGUUGGGUUUUUUCCCCCAAAUCUAACCGUCGAAAGAGAGUAGGGGGGGGUGUCCGGCGGGCGCGGGCCCGGGGGCGUAGGCUCCCUGGCGGGCUCUGUAGGCGCGCCCGGCGAUUGAGGAUGGCCCCAUAUUGUUGGGCGGGUGGACCUCGGAGGAGGUAGGGAGGCCCGGUGAGCUCCGGGGUUCACUAGCGAAGGAAGCCCUCUGGGUCCACCUCCCCCGUGUUUAUUUUCCUUGUUGUUUGGCGGGCCGCUUUUCUGGUGGCGGGGGGUUUUUCCCCCGUCCCUCCCCUUUUCCCUCCUCUUCUUUUU